ACUUAGUGAUCCGGUGGUUCCGCAUGGAAGGGCCAUCGCUCAACGGAUAAAAGCUACCCCGGGGAUAACAGGCUUAUCUCCCCCAAGAGUUCACAUCGACGGGGAGGUUUGGCACCUCGAUGUCGGCUCAUCGCAUCCUGGGGCUGUAGUCGGUCCCAAGGGUUGGGCUGUUCGCCCAUUAAAGCGGUACGCGAGCUGGGUUCAGAACGUCGUGAGACAGUUCGGUCCCUAUCCGUCGUGGGCGUAGGAAAUUUGAGAGGAGCUGUCCUUAGUACGAGAGGACCGGGAUGGACAUACCUCUGGUGUACCAGUUGUCGUGCCAACGGCAUAGCUGGGUAGCUAUGUGUGGACGGGAUAAGUGCUGAAAGCAUCUAAGCAUGAAGCCCCCCUCAAGAUGAGAUUUCCCAACUUCGGUUAUAAGAUCCCUCAAAGAUGAUGAGGUUAAUAGGUUCGAGGUGGAAGCAUGGUGACAUGUGGAGCUGACGAAUACUAAUCGAUCGAAGACUUAAUCAAAA
rnacentral:rRNA from 1 species